rnacentral:lncRNA from 1 species
CACAUUCUCCAUCGCCUCCUCCAUAUGGCUACAACUCACCACCUCCUCCAUCACCUUCACCACCACCUUCACAUUCUCCAUCGCCUCCUCCAUAUGGCUACAACUCACCACCUCCUCCAUCACCUUCACCACCACCUCCACAUUCUCCAUUGCCUCCUCCAUAUGGCUACAAGUCACCACCUCCUCCAUCGCCUUCACCACCACCUCCACAUUCUCCAUCGCCUCCUCCAUAUGGCUACAACUCACCACCUCCUCCGUCACCUUCACCCCCACCUCCACCUUCUCCAUCGCCUCCCCCAUAUGGCUACAAGUCUCCACCUCCACCUUCUCCGUCACCUCCUCCACCUUAUAUCCAUAAGUCACCACCACCUCCAUCACCUUCACCACCCCCUCCUCACAUUUACAGGCCCCCACCACCAUCACCCCCUCCACCAUAUCACCCCUACAUCUAUAGCUCACCUCCGCCUCCGGUGUAUUAAGCUUCUACUCGAAGCAAUUUGAGCUUUUUCUAUAAGAUUAUGUGACACAUGGUUGUUGCUUUUAAUUAUUUAAGUCUACAUGGAUUAUAUAGUCGGCACAUUGAAAUAAGAGGCUCAGUAUUAUUAUGGAUGUAAUUCAUGGAUUAUGUAUCACCUUUUCUUCAAAUAUUUAUUAUGAUAUCUUUUCUCAUAAAAAAAAAA